UACGGAGGGUGCAAGCGUUAUCCGGAUUCACUGGGCUUAAAGGGUGCGUAGGUGGGCUAGUAAGUCCGUGGUGAAAUCUCUGAGCUUAACUCGGAAACUGCCGUGGAUACUAUUAGUCUUGAAUGUUGUGGAGGUAAGCGGAAUAUGUCAUGUAGCGGUGAAAUGCUUAGAUAUGACAUAGAACACCGGUAGCGAAGGCAGCUUGCUACACAAUUAUUGACACUGAGGCACGAAAGCGUGGGGAGCAAACAGG
rnacentral:rRNA from 1 species